rnacentral:rRNA from 1 species
UACGUAGGGGGCGAGCGUUGUCCGGAUUCAUUGGGCGUAAAGAGCUCGUAGGCGGCUUGGCAAGUCGGAUGUGAAAACUCCAGGCUCAACCUGGAGCCGCCAUUCGAUACUGCUAUGGCUAGAGUCCGGUAGGGGAGUGUGGAAUUCCCGGUGUAGCGGUGAAAUGCGCAGAUAUCAGGAGGAACACCGACGGCGAAGGCAGCACUCUGGGCCGGUACUGACGCUGAGGAGCGAAAGCAUGGGGAGCGAACAGG